UCUCGACUAGUAUAUCGGUGAGAACACAACCCUGUCAUUCCAGGCUUCGGUUGAGAGCUGGGUUCGACUCCCAGGUCGAGAG